UACGUAGGUGGCAAGCGUUGUCCGGAUUUACUGGGCGUAAAGAGCGCGCAGGCGGUCGUUUAAGUCGAAUGUGAAAGCCCCCGGCUCAACUGGGGAGGGUCAUUCGAUACUGAUCGACUUGAAGGCAGGAGAGGGAAGUGGAAUUCCGAGUGUAGAGGUGAAAUUCGUAGAUAUUCGGAAGAACACCAGUGGCGAAGGCGACUUACUGGACACAUAUUGACGCUGAGGUGCGAAAGCGUGGGGAGCAAACAGG
rnacentral:rRNA from 1 species